AGCCUUUGAAAUUUGUGUAUCAAAUAUGAUACAGUAGGCUUUAGGGUUUAAGCAGCUUUAAAGCACUGAAAGGAAAUCAGCAUGGUUGUCGGCAUGCCAUCAUUUUAUGGUGAUAGGGAAUAGAUGAGUUCUGUCUUACCACAUUACUGCUACAUGAUCUGCCAAGUUUGUGUGUUGGUUCAAUAUAAGCGCAGGGCACUGCCCUGGCACUUCUAAGGGGGCUGUUUUUUCAGUUUCAUUUUCCCUUUCCCUGUUAUAAGAUGUAACUUCUUGUCAAUGUACUUGGCCUUAUGUACAAUAUGAUGAUUUUAGUUUGUAACACAGUGUAGUGAAUAUUUGGCACACUCAAAGGCUAGGUUUCACUUUCAUUUUCACUUACACAAUGUCACAUGUCAUAGCUUUCAAAAAGCCUUUAUGAUCCAAAGCCAUGGAUUCAGUGAGGUAUGAGGAAAGUACCAAGCAACCAACAUAAGCUGCAACCCCAUUGGCUGGAAUGUUCAUUUAUGAGGGAAACUCCCAUAAAUGCACCUGCUGUGAGCACUGCAAUCUCACCAUUUACUCUCAUGUAUUCUGCGGGACAAGCAAGCUUUUUAUUUGUGUGAAGUUCAAACAAACAAAAAUGCUAAGCGUGUUGAGGCGGAAAAAAAAGAAUGGGAAUGAAGAGACCCCUUUAAUGAAAAACAUAGAGCAGACAGAUGGGGAACAGACAUCUGAAUACAGUUCACAGCAGUCCGGAGUUCCUGAUCUCAUCGCUCUAGAUGUUGAAGCGAGUAACAAGAGAGUGCUUAAUAUUCUCAGAAUGAUUCUGAGUGACCAAUCAACCCCUGAGGACUUUGACACUGCAGCUGAGGUGCUGAAAACAUGGAGCAAACUGAACAACAGCUUCUCUCAAGACUGGCUUUGUGAGUACCUUCAGGAAAUAGAUCAGUUUGUUGAGAAAAACUUUCCCUCGCUGCCAGCAGAGGGACCACAAGGAUCUCAGUUAGAGCAGAUGCAAGAAUUUCUAAACAGUGCACAGAGUGUUAUAUAUGAUGAGGUGUGUCGAUUAACACCUUUACUGAAAGAUGCUGGACUGCUAGUUCAUCUGAUGGACAGUUACAGCCAUCACCUCUUUACCAACCUGGACCUGCUCCUAAACAGAGAUCUUUCAGCGAAUGAAAUUUUCUGCCUUCUAAUGUGGGGAAAAAAUGUUUUCUUCAGUCCAGACUCACAGCAUUUCUUCAGAGUGUACGACCCUCUGCUGUUGACAGGUUGGUUUGAGAGAGCAACAAGGAAGCUGCUGCCAAAACUGGAGGAUGACAUCUCCACGACUCUACAGAACAUCCGACACUAUGAUGAGGAACAUGGACAUAAUGAGGACUCAAUGGAUGAAGAAACUUUCAUCAGAGUUCACUUAGAUGUCACCCAGUGUCUGAAUGCUGUUAUUAACAAUUCUAAAGAAUUUAGUAACACCCUGAUGUGUACAGCACAGACGCUCUGCCUUAAAGAGCUUCAUCAUUUUGUUCAGGAGUAUGCACAUGCACAGAAAAAAUGUCUGGGAAAACAGAAACCCCUGAACUCAAAAUAUGUGCAUCUGUUUCGGCUCAUCAGCACCAGUAGGCAACUCAGAUUUUUUGCUGAUCGACUCAACAAUCCGGAUAUUAACAACAGUAACGACCUCUCAAACAUCAUCUGCAUGUUAGAGGAGCUGGAAGAUCACGUUCUGUCAAUUGUACAGAAGAUGAUGAAACACUUAGCGCAGGGCUAUUUGAGAAAAUAUUUCAAAAAAGAAGGUGAGCAAAUUCAAAUGCUGACAGAGGGCAUUCAAAAGCGGUGUGCAUCUCUGCCUCAGGCUCAUGUGGGAAAAGAGAUUCAGGAGAUCUUUGUAAAUGUAGCCUAUGACUGCAUUUCACACGUAUAUCUGGAUUGCCUGAUGAAGAGCAAGUUCAAGCGGCUAGAGAAGAGAUGGGGAAAUGUCGGAGAAAGGAUGAGAGAGGAUGCUCUCAGUUUUCACAACACAUUUACUGAACUGAAUGGCAGUGAUGACCAGAGGUACCAUCUCCUUCAGAGAAUGAGUGAAGUUUUGCUCUGCAGUGAUGUAGAUGCACUGAAGAUUACCUGUUGUGAUUUGUUCAGGGAUUUCCCUCAAGACAGUGAGCAGUAUGUACCUGGUCUGCUGCGCUGGAAAGGUGUGUUAUCAGAGCGACAGGUGAAGGAAGUGCUGACUGUGAGCCGGGAUCUCGUUCUGGAUCUAAAGCCUAGACGUGUCACAUGUCAGCGUCUGAAGGGGCUUUGCUGUUGUCUUUGAUAUGAAUAGCAACAUCAGCCAGAUUUGUGAAACCUCUGUUUACAAGUUUAAAUUGAUGACAUGACUUUUGUGAACAUUAGUGAACAUUAGUUGUUUAUACAGGUACAUUUAUAUUUUAAUCAGAUACAAUAUUUUUGUACCUUUUAACCUUUUGAUUUUACUUGAAAAUAGGAAAUCAUGUUUCUAUCUGACCACCGGGAAAAAAAUGAAAUUACCCUUUUUGGUAUGUCUUUUCUAUGAUAGUAUAAUUAAUUAAGUUUAAAAAAUUAAGUAAAAUUUAAAUAUGGAAUUACCUAAAGUUGACUUAAGUUAUGUGAAAUUCGCAAAGGAAAUAAGUCAAUUUAACAUAGCUAUUUAGAGUUUGAUGAGUAAUUUCUUCUUAAUUAUUGCAAUACUCAAGUACUUUUCACUCAAUCAUAGUUUGUAAACUUCAUUCAAACAAUGUAGCACUGAAAAAAAAGAACUAUGCUAUUAAAGCAUGUGGUUCAUUUACAAACAUGUAAGCAAGCAAACCGCUUUUUAUCCUUUUUAAGAUGAUAUGUUUACACAAUAUAGUUUUUACCCAAAUGAGCAACAGUUACUAAAUCUAACAACAAAAGCAACAAGAAAACAGUGUAAAUAGAACUCGAAAACAUAAUUACUUAUUCCCCAGUGCAUGAAUCUUUGUAAACAUAACAAACAAUUCCAAGUAAAAUAUACUUAUAAGUUCAAACUUUAAUUUCUACAAGUUUAAAUUGGAUACUAAUAUAGAACUUACUCUUUUUUAAUUCUUGCCUGAACUAAACAUUUGUUUUUCCGUAGUAUUUACUAUUCAUUUUUAUCAGUGAGGAUGGUAACCACAUGUCCAUUUAUUUCUUAAAUUAUUGUUAAAUUAUUGUUGUAAUAUUUAAUAUUUAUAUUGGUUGUAUUUUCUUUUAUUUAUUCUUAUUUGAAAAUAGGACACAGUAUUUCUUUUAUGUAAGAUUAUUUUAUCAUACAAGAGUCAGUGGUACUAUAACAAGUAACUUUAAAAGUAUAACAAGUGACUUUGGUACCUCAAUAAAGACAUAAAUGACAUUUUU
ensembl:lncRNA